CUGUAGAUGAUGGCUGAGCAGAUACAAGCAGUUCAAGUUGGUGUUAGUGGUACUGCAAUGUCUUCGUCUGUUUCUUCUGUGUUUGUGAAGUGCACUGCUACUGGAAACCUUUAUUUGAUGAGGUGAAAGUGAUUCGCAGGAAUAUGAUACAGAUUUGGAUGGGCAGCAAGAAUCCGAUGAAACUGGAACAGAUUCAAGCCCACCUUCAACUCAAGAUGAGAAAAUGGAUCCAGAUGAUUAAGAGUGGUAUACAUGUACAGAAAUUACCAAAUUUUCUUUCCACCAGGUUUUGUUUUCCUGAGAUGGAAAUCAAAAGUUAUUUAGGCUGCAACAACCUCUUCGUCGGAUGAAAUUAGUUGCUGGAUUGUGACUGCCGUCUCAAAGUUUUGAUUUGAGGGUGAGAUACAUUUCUUUCUCUUGUAGAUAUACAAGCAGCUCUAUAAAUAAGGUAUGUGUCCUCCUCUCAGUUGAUGGAUGAGUUCGUUCGUACCAUAGAACGAUUCCCUCGCUUGCAAGAACUUUGUUAAGCUAUAGAAGCUUCACUGCAGAUUCUUGGUUCUCCUACUCUGAGAGAGCCUCUAGCAAGGAAGUGGUUGCAAACCUUCCAACAAUCAUUGUGACAGAGGAAACCUUAACGAGGUUGAGCCUUGGUAUAGAAUGUGCUGUUUGCAGCGAGAACUUGGUUAUAAAUGA